rnacentral:rRNA from 1 species
UACAGAGGUCUCAAGCGUUGUUCGGAUUCAUUGGGCGUAAAGCGCUCGCAGGUGGUUCGUCGCGUCGUGCGUGAAAGACCCCGGCUCAACUGGGGGGUGUCGUGCGAUACGGGCGGACUGGAGGCCAGUAGGGGGAUGCGGAAUUCCGGGUGUAGUGGUGGAAUGCGUAGAGAUCCGGAGGAACACCAGCGGCGAAGGCGGCAUCCUGGACUGGUCCUGACACUCAGGAGCGAAAGCGUGGGGAGCGAUCCGG